UACGGAGGAUCCAGGCGUUAUCCGGAUUUAUUGGGUUUAAAGGGUGCGUAGGCGGCUUUUAAGUCAGGGUGAAAGACGGUAGCUCAACUAUCGCAGUGCCCUUGAUACUGAAGAGCUUGAAUACACUAGAGGUAGGCGGAAUGUGACAAGUAGCGGUGAAAUGCAUAGAUAUGUCACAGAACACCAAUUGCGAAGGCAGCUUACUAUGGUGAUCAUUGACGCUGAGGCACGAAAGCGUGGGGAUCAAACAGGA
rnacentral:rRNA from 1 species